GAAACGGGGGCAACUCCGUGAGUAUAGUGGCGUACGGGUGAGUAACACGUGACUACCUACCUUUGAGUGGGGGAUAACCCCGGGAAACCGGGGCUAAUACCGUAUAACAUCGCAAGAUCAAAGAAGCAAUUCGCUUAAAGAGGGGCGCUCGCGGCUGAUUAGCUAGUUGGUACGGGUAAUGGCCUACCAAGGCGAUGAUCGGUAGCCGGCCUGAGAGGGCGCACGGCCACACUGGAACUGAAACACGGUCCAGACUCCGUACAGGAGGCACCAGUGGGGAAUUUUGCGCAAUGGGGGAAACCCUGACGCAGCAACGCCGCGUGGAGGAUGAAGUCCCUUGUGGACGUAAACU
rnacentral:rRNA from 1 species